AACGAACGCUGGCGGCAGGCCUAACACAUGCAAGUCGAGCGAGACCUUCGGGUCUAGCGGCGGACGGGUGAGUAACGCGUGGGAACGUGCCCUUUUCUGCGGAAUAGCCUCGGGAAACUGAGCGUAAUACCGCAUACGCCCUUUGGGGGAAAGAUUUAUCGGAAAAGGAUCGGCCCGCGUUGGAUUAGGUAGUUGGUGGGGUAAUGGCCUACCAAGCCUACGAUCCAUAGCUGGUUUGAGAGGAUGAUCAGCCACACUGGGACUGAGACACGGCCCAGACUCCUACGGGAGGCAGCAGUGGGGAAUCUUAGACAAUGGGGGCAACCCUGAUCUAGCCAUGCCGGGUGAGUGAUGAAGGCCUUAGGGUUGUAAAGCUCUUUCAGCUGGGAAGAUAAUGACGGUACCAGCAGAAGAAGCCCCGGCUAACUCCGUG
rnacentral:rRNA from 1 species